AUUGAACGCUGGCGGUAUGCUUAACACAUGCAAGUCGAACGGUAACAGGCCUUCGGGCGCUGACGAGUGGCGGACGGGUGAGUAACGCGUAGGAAUCUGCCUCAUAGUGGGGGACAACGUGGGGAAACUCACGCUAAUACCGCAUACGCCCUACGGGGAAAGCGGGGGAGUCUUCGGACCUCGCGCUAUGAGAUGAGCCUGCGUUAGAUUAGCUAGUUGGUAGGGUAAAGGCCUACCAAGGCGACGAUCUAUAGCUGGUCUGAGAGGACGAUCAGCCACACUGGGACUGAGACACGGCCCAGACUCCUACGGGAGGCAGCAGUGGGGAAUAUUGGACAAUGGGCGCAAGCCUGAUCCAGCAAUACCGCGUGUGUGAAGAAGGCCUUAGGGUUGUAAAGCACUUUCAAUUGGGAGGAAAACCUGCCGGUCAAUACCCGGCAGCUUGACAUUACCUUUAGAAGAAGCACCGGCUAACUCCGUGCCAGCAGCCGCGGUAAU
rnacentral:rRNA from 1 species